rnacentral:lncRNA from 1 species
AUUAAUUCUAAUCAAUUUUUAAACCAAAUUCUAAUAAAAUUCUAUUUAAAUCCUAAUUAAAAUUUAAUUAAAUCCUAAAAAAUUCUUAAAAAAUCAUAUUCAAAUCCUAGACAAAUCUUAAAUCUUAGUAAAAUCCUAAAUCAAAUCUUAGGCAAAUCUUAAUUAAAUCCUAAUAAAAUAUUAAUAAAAUUUUAAAUCCUAAUCAAAUCCUAAAUC